GGGCGAUUAACUCAGCGGGAGAGUGCUUCCCUUACAAGGAAGAAGUCACAGGUUCAAAUCCUGUAUCGCCCA
rnacentral:tRNA from 1 species